CCUACGGGAGGCAGCAGUGGGGGAUAUUGCACAAUGGGGGGAACCCUGAUGCAGCGACGCCGCGUGGGUGAAGAAGCGCCUCGGCGCGUAAAGCCCUGUCAGCAGGGAAGAAAAUGACGGUACCUGAAGAAGAAGCCCCGGCUAACUACGUGCCAGCAGCCGCGGUAAUACGUAGGGGGCAAGCGUUAUCCGGAUUUACUGGGUGUAAAGGGGGCGCAGACGGCGAUGCAAGCCAGGAGUGAAAGCCCGGGGCCCAACCCCGGGACUGCUCUUGGAACUGCGUGGCUGGAGUGCAGGAGGGGCAGGCGGAGUUCCUGGUGUAGCGGUGGAAUGCGUAGAUAUCAGGAGGAACACCGGUGGCGAAGGCGGCCUGCUGGACUGCAACUGACGUUGAGGCCCGAAAGCGUGGGGAGCAAACAGGAUUAGAUACCCGAGUAGUC
rnacentral:rRNA from 1 species